ensembl:lncRNA
UAAUGUGAUCUACACAGUGACUUUAUUUUCACUGCUCGUACAAUAAUAAUCUACAAUAUAUAUUGUUUCUGAGAACAAACCAAUAAUUUAUUCAUGAAUUAAUUUAUACUCAACAAAUUUCCUCUGAAAUCCAUUAAAUCAUCCACAGACCAAAUCAUUCAGGCUGUAACUACUUUAUUCACUCUUAAAUCACCAUUAAACACAUUUAUUCUGACUGGUUUGUCAAUUAAGUUGCUAAAAAAAGCUGGUUGUGACGUCAGCGCAAAAGUUGAGAGUGGUUGCCAGGUUGAGUAUUUUCCCGCUGAUUGUGAGAUUAUAAAAUAACUAACUUAGUGAUCAAACAGUUUAACGUUGGUUAAAGGUGAUAUUUAUGUUUUAUUUGGAUGAUAAACGGAUGGUUUUUGGGGCAUUUCUGUGGAUAUUCAACAUAUUUCAUGCGGGGAAUCGUCGGUUGUAUCUGGCAACCAGCUAGAGUCAGGAACAAAGCAGUGAAAUGGAGGACGGACAGAGCUGGAUGAUGACUACCGUUAAACUAGAAGAAGAAGAAAAGGAACAAAUAUUAUGGAGGGAAGUGAAGCUGAGUAUGAGUAAGACGGACAGUGAUGAUGAUGAUGAUGAAGGCUGCAGGAGGAAAGCUGUGCUGGAGGAGCUUCGUCAUCCCGACCAUGUGUGGGACGGAAUGUUUGCUCCAAAGAUGGAGAAAAGCGGAGAAGAAGAAACGGAGGAGUUUUCAGAUGUGUGCUCUGUGAAGGAAGAGUGUGUAAGUUCUUGACGGUGGAGAUGCAGGAGGCGCUGGAGAGGACAGGUCGGUCCAAGGAGGUGCUGGAGUUGGGGGAGGUGCUGGACACGGCAAGAGUAGACGCAAUAUUAAAUAGUACACGUUGUAAGAACAACACACUCAUCAACCAUAAUUAUCCUUAAAUAGCUUUAGAAUGCUUAGGAUUUUAAAGCAUUGCAUCGUGGGUAGUUGAUGAUCUGUGUGUUGAUGUUUAGGGAGACCCGUUUGACUGAGGCCGUGGACAACAUCUGUGAACGCAUCCUGCAGUACAGCGUUCACGCAUAGAGGCCUGGAAGUCUACGCUACGCCAAGGUCAGUCCACCGCCUCAUUGUUACCUUUAAACAAUCCUCCACUGGUUUUACAAGUUUGGCCUAAAACCUUUGAAAUGUAAUUAUUAGAAGAUCUAUGCCUAACCAAACAUUAUUUGUUUAAUUAUUGUUUUUUUUAUUUGGCUUUCAUAAAUAAUUAUGCAUAUUUACAGAUAUUGUACAUGAUAUGAGUGAUAACACGUGUUGUAAAGGCUAUUUUACACAAUAGGUGUGGCUACAGAUUUAUACUUGUUCGUUGGUGUACCAUGGGCACUAAAAGUCUGGGAACCACUGAUCUACACAACUAAAAAGUACAAACAUGUAGAGGCAGCUCAGUGGGAGCACUAAACAGAAACUAAAAAGAGAAGGAGAUCAGAAACACAGAACAUAUAAAGAAGCAUAAACUGAAUAUAGGUCAUUUUUUCACUCCAGUGUAUUUUGCCAGAUCAGCAUUUCUUUGAGAGAAAUUGUCAGGUUUCCAGAUGUUUAUGUUUUGCCAGAUUAAACUGAUGCUGAUGUGUUUUAUUUUCAUAGCAUCAUAUGUGAGUGAGGGGCU